UACGUAGGGAGCAAGCGUUGUCCGGAAUCAUUGGGCGUAAAGCGCGCGUAGGUGGCUCUGUAAGUCCGUUGUGAAAGUCAAAGGCUCAACCUUUGAAAGCCGAUGGAUACUGCAGAGCUAGAGUACGGAAGAGGCGAGUGGAAUUCCUGGUGUAGCGGUGGAAUGCGCAGAUAUCAGGAGGAACACCAAUAGCGAAGGCAGCUCGCUGGGACGUUAUUGACACUGAGGCGCGAAAGCGUGGGGAGCGAACAGG
rnacentral:rRNA from 1 species